GACGAACGCUGGCGGCGUGCUUAACACAUGCAAGUCGAACGGAAAGGCCCUGCUUUUGUGGGGUGCUCGAGUGGCGAACGGGUGAGUAACACGUGAGUAACCUGCCCUUGACUUUGGGAUAACUUCAGGAAACUGGGGCUAAUACCGGAUAGGAGCUCCUGCUGCAUGGUGGGGGUUGGAAAGUUUCGGCGGUUGGGGAUGGACUCGCGGCUUAUCAGCUUGUUGGUGGGGUAGUGGCUUACCAAGGCUUUGACGGGUAGCCGGCCUGAGAGGGUGACCGGCACAAUGGGGCUUGGGAAAGGGCCAGGGUGCAAAGGGGGGCAAGGGGGGGGAAUCUUUGCCAAAGGGGCGGAGGCUGGAUGGAGAAACGCCGGGUGGGGAAGGACGGCUGUCGGGUGUGAAACCCCUUCAGCUGGGACCGAAGGGGGAUGACGGUAAAGGGGAAAGAAGCACCGGCUAACUUCGUG
rnacentral:rRNA from 1 species